rnacentral:rRNA from 1 species
CGGCGAGUGAAGCGGCAAGAGCUCAAAUUUGAAAUCUGGCCCCUUUGGGGUCCGAGUUGUAAUUUGCAGAGGAUGCUUCGGGUGCGGUCCCCGUCUAAGUGCCCUGGAACGGGCCGUCAUAGAGGGUGAGAAUCCCGUCUGGGAUGGGCGGCCGCGCCCGUGUGAAGCUCCUUCGACGAGUCGAGUUGUUUGGGAAUGCAGCUCUAAGCGGGUGGUAAAUUUCAUCUAAAGCUAAAUACUGGCCGGAGACCGAUAGCGCACAAGUAGAGUGAUCGAAAGAUGAAAAGCACUUUGAAAAGAGAGUUAAACAGCACGUGAAAUUGUUGAAAGGGAAGCGUUGUCCACCAGACUCGCCCGGGGGGGCUCAGCCGGCACACGUGCCGGUGUACUCCUCUCCGGGCGGGCCAGCAUCGGUUUGGGCGGCUGGUGAAAGGCCCCGGGAAUGUAACACCCUUCGGGGUGCCUUAUAGCCCGGGGUGCCAUACAGCCAGCCUGGACCGAGGCCCGCGCUUCGGCGAGGAUGCUGGCGUAAUGGUGGUCAACGGCCCGUCUUGAAACACCGGAGAAAACACCGUUACCCCGGCAUCUCGCCGAAGCGCGAGCCUCGGUCCAGGCCGGCUGUAU